ACUACGAGGUAUCUAAUCCUGUUUGCUCCCCGCUUUCGUGCAUAGGCGUCAGUGUUAUCCCAGAGCUGCCUUCGCCAUCGGUGUUCCUCGCAUAUCUGCGCAUUUUCACUGCUACACCCGGAAUUCCACCUCCCUCUGGCCUCUAGCUCGGUGAUUAAAAAUGCAGUUCCAAAGUUAAGCUCUGGGAUUUCAUCUUUCUUUCCGAACCGCCUGCGCACGCUUUAGCCCAGUAGUUCCGAUUAACGCUUGCACCCUACGUAUUACCGCGGCUGCUGGCGUAGUUAGCCGGUGCUUAUUCUGCAGGUACCGUCAGUUGCGCAGGGUGUUAUCCGUGCCGUUUCUUCCUGCCAAAAGUGCUUUACAACCCGAAGGCCUUCAUCGCACACGGGAUAGCGGAUCAGAGUUUCCCCCAUUGUCAAAAAUUCCCCACUGCUGCCUCCCGUG
rnacentral:misc_RNA from 1 species